AUGACCAUCCUGUCAUCUACUCUGGCAACUUUAACUGCCAAAACGAACAAUGGGGUUACAAAAACACAACACCAGACGGAGAAGCACUUGCAAACUGGGCAUCUACCACCAACCUAACACUCCUCUAUGACAGCAAACAACCAUGCUCAUUUACCUCUGGUCGAUGGCAAACCGGCACCAACCCUGACCUGGCUUUCUGCAGCUCCCGAGAUCGCUCUACAGCACAGCGUACUGUUAUCAGUAAGUUCCCACGCUCACAGCAUAGACCUUCUCUCAUCACCCACCCAGCUCUUGUUACUCCAACUACAUCAAUGCCACAGUCUAGAUGGAAUUUCAAAAAAGCAAACUGGGACACUUUCAGAGAAGAACUUAACAAACACCCCCUACCAGACCUAGCAGAACAAGACCAAGAUACUACCUACAAGCACUUCAGCAACUCCAUCAUAAACGCAGCAAAAGCAAGCAUACCUCGUGGCCACCGCAGAGUUUAUGUUCCUGGCUGGGACGAAGAAUGUGAAACAUAUGCCCUUCUCCACGACAAUGCCACCUCCUACGAGGAAUCUCAAGAAGCUGCCACCGCUCUCCUCAACCAUCUUGAUAACCGACGCAGAGAGAAAUGGAUAGAAGAAACUGAAAAUAUCAACUUCACACACUCCAGCAGACAAGCAUGGAGCAAACUGAACAGGCUAACUGGAAAUGUCAAACCUUUCACCUCACAAGCUCCAGUUAAGGCCAAUGACAUAGCUAACAACCUGAUAAAUAAUGGGAAGUUCAAUAAACCAAACAAAGAAUUUACCUUCAAGAUCAAUAGACACCUGAAAGACGCAUGGAACACACCAUCAGCUGACCAAGAUCUGUGCUCUGACUUCUCCAUGGCUGAGGUUAAAUCAGCCAUUGCUACACUCAAACAAAACAAAGCUCCAGGACCAGACUCUUUACACCCAGAAUUCUUCCAACACCUCCCAGAAUCGACCUUACUAUGGCUAAAGAACAUUUUCAAUAUGUGUCUCAGGACAGUCAAGAUCCCAAAGAUCUGGCGCACCGCCAAAAUAGUUGCCAUACUCAAACCAAACAAACCUGCUGAAGAUCCAAAAAGCUACCGACCAAUUAGCCUACUCUGCGUUAGCUUCAAACUCCUAGAAAGACUGAUCCUCAACCGCAUCUAUGACACUGUUGAUGAGAACUGCCGGGUCUAUGACAGGUCUAUGCCUGAGAACUGCCGCAUCUAUGACACACACACACACACACACACAC
rnacentral:lncRNA from 1 species